AGUAACGGUCGCUUUGUCCCAUCAGUGUCGGGUGAGUGACCGACACUGAUACUUUUUCAGUAAUUAAAAAAAUAAUUAAAAUCACAAAAAAUACACAGCAUUUAUACACAGAAAAUACACAUCACAUAUAUUUUGAAUACACAGAAAAUACACAGCACAUCACAUAUAUUUCGAAUUAAAACCACAACCACAUCAUUUAAAGCAUACAAAUGUAUAUAAAGUCGCAUCAUUUAAAGCAUAUAAAGCAUACAAUGUAUCUCACUUCACGAUAUUGAUUGCAAAGUGUCAAAAUUUCAUAGCAAAAUUAAGUUUGAAGCUAUUGUUGUGGGUGAACCCUAAUAACCACUUGUUCCACGCGUUCGUAGAAGUACCCAC
rnacentral:lncRNA from 1 species